ensembl:lncRNA
UUCACACUUCAGUAUCUUUAUUGUGGAAGCAAACAGAAGUAUUUUACAUAAGUUCACACACACAAGCUUUUAUCUCAGAGAGUGUGAAACAAUGCAGAAAACAAGAGAAUGAAGCAGAAUCAAACUUUAGAAAAUAAAACGCUCAUCUGGUCAUUUCCUUUCUCAUUUUCUCAUGAAAGUGUGUUAACAGUUGUGCAGAAAACAUAUAUUUUUACCAUGAUUUACAGAAGACAUCCAUUAAAAUAUAAUUCAGUGUAACACCUGUUCAUAAACCAAACAAUCUCAUCAGGCUUAUGCUCAGGCACACUCUAAAAAAUGCUUGGAUGUUUAUAAACGUAUGGUUGGUUAAACCAUUGUUUUGGCCAAACACUGGAGAUUAACGCUUACUUUUGAUCAGUUUUUAAUCUUUUGAAAUGGUGAGUUAGGAAAUCUUUACUAGGUCUGGGGUGGAUUUCUUAAAAGUGGUUUCCUGAUCGUGUCACGUGACUUCCUUGUGUGUUAUAUUCCUUCUUUUGUAGCAGAAAUAAACUUUUUCCAUUUCAUUUUGAGUGCAUAAUCAUUAGAUUUCGUUAAAAGACUCUACUCAAGGAUCAAAGUUCAGCCCUCAAAAGCUAAUGAUUUUUUUUCAUUUGAAAUCUUUCCAAGUCUUUGCCAUUGCACACUCUAAAAAAUGCUGGGUUGUUUCAACCCAACUUUGGGUCAAAUAUGGACUAACCCAGCAAUUUUUAACCCAAAAGUUGAGGUUUGGAACAUUGCCAGUUUACAUCGGCAUUCCCUAUAUAUUUAUUAUAUAUAUUUAUCCAUAUAUUUUACCAGAUACAGGUCAGCAUAAGUAUGGUGUUUCACAUAAAUCCGUUGCGCUGAAUGAUUAUUUCACCCAUAUUUUGACAUUUUAUUUGAAAGAUUAAAGCAGACACUUUACUUGUAUUUACUUGUAUUACUUGUAUUUCACAAUUAGUUACUGUCCUCGAGUAUCUUUUUGUAGUUUAACUGAGUAUCAAAUGUAUUAGCAAAUUUUACUCUCUACUUCACUACAUUUUUUUAAUCAAGAUAUGUACUCUUUACUCCAGUACCUUUGUAAAGAUUCAUGCAAUUACUCGUUACAUUCUGCAUGGCACCAGGCUUUUCUGCAGCAGUUUAUUUCUGCUACAAAAGACGGAAUAUUACACAGAGGAAGUCACGUGACACGAUCAGGAAACCACUUUUAAGAAAUCCACCCCAGACCUCGUAAAGAUUUCCUAACUCACCAUUUCAAAAGAUUAAAAACUGGUCAAAAGUUAGUGUUAAUCUACAGUGUUCGGCCAAAACAAUGGUUUAACCAACCAUACGUUUAUAAACACAACUCAAGCUGAAGGAAGUGAUGUAACAGAACUCUAACACACUGAAAAACACACUCUCAAUCAGCAGAAAAACAGAAAAAGUGUAUAUAUAUAUACAUAUAUAUAUAUAUAUAUAUAUAUAUAUAUAUAUAUAUAUAUAUAUAUAUAUAUAUAUAUAUAUAUAUAUAUAUAUAUAUAUAUAUCCCUCCACAUGACUGUACAAUAUGCAUGCAAAUAAACCUUGACAUACUUAUAUAUCCAACUUAAAUAUCCAUAUAAAGAUCUGGCCUAUAACUUACAUGAAUAUUAUAUUAUAACUUACAUGAAUAUUACAAUUUUAAUUACAAUAUACUGUAUGUAUGCAGACAAAAAUUGUACAAACUUAUAAAACCAAUUUUAUAUACAUCUAUACAUACUCUUAGUAUGAUAUACAGAGCUUUUCACUGAACAAAUUUUCACUGAAAGCAACAAAGAUUCAACUGAUCUGAGUGCAUUUCCAUUUAUGCUUUUAGCAGACGUGUUUACAUAGAUUUACUGUAAAUUCAAGCUAUGAAGUUUUUAUUUGAGAAUUGAACUCUUGACUAGUUUAGCUGGUAGAAACGAAUAGGUUACAAUUUACUAUCAACCAACACUACAGGACUUAUGUGUGCAAACCUUUAGACAUUUAUCAGGCCUUUCCCAGGUCUUUCCCCGAACUCGAGGAAUGAAAUUUAAGACAUUAUUAAUGCAAUAUUUAUCUGUAAACAGAAGGUUUUUGUAAACCAGGGUCAUUAAUUAACUGAUUUUGUACAUUCGUGAGGGCAGUUUUUAUCACCACCUUAAUAAUUGUAUCUGUGUUGUCUUUAAUGUCAAAUACUUGAAUUUAACAAAUUACUUCAAUUAAUCAAAAUACUUUAAACUGUUGCCAGUAACAACUGACUGUUUGAAAUCAUAUCUUAAUUAUACAUUUAAAAACAGGAGCCAAUAUGGCUGCAAUAUUAUGACAACAUUCGUUAUUGUCGAUUAUUGCCUCUUGAUAUUGUAAUAAUGAUUAUUAAUACGGAUUAAUGGAAUACAUAUAAAAAUCGCUUCAUCUGGAAAGCAUCCGCUGUGUACAAACAUCUGAUAGACGUCUUUAAGAUGUCAGUUUACAUUCAUUCUAAAUCAUAAACAUCUUAAAGACAUCUUCUAAAUGUCUAUUUGACAUCUGGUAGGAAAUGUCCUAUAGAUGUAUUGCAGAUGAACAAACACUAAAAAAAAAUACGUCUUGCAGAUGUAAUGCAGAGGUCAGAUAGAGUCUCUUUGUGCAAUCAGGGACAUGCAUUCUAAAUCAUAAACAUCUUAAAGACAUCUUAUUAACAUGUAUUUGACAUCUGAUAGGAAACUUCCUAUAGACAUUUUGCAGAUGAACAAACACUCUAAAAAAUACGUCUUGCAGAUGUAAUGCAGACGUCAAAUAGACAUCUCCGUGACGUACGUGUGCUAUCAGGGUGUGUUUUCAUGACUUUUGAACACUUGAGCACAUCGAUCACCUUCUCGAGAUUCAUGAUUAAAAGCUAACUUUCAUGUAUGCUUUUUCUUGCCAUCAUAUAGUCGCAGUUGCAAAUCAAGAAGCGCUAAAAACAGGAGUCCACAGAAGUUUGAGGGAAAAUAAUGUGUGUUUGGUUUCCUCUUUUUUCCAUUGUUUUGCUUACUCAUCUGACAGUUCAGCCCAGACAUGUACGUUAAAGCUCACACUAUACAACCCGUUACACCACAUAUCAACAUUCAGUAUCACUUUUAGCAGACGUGUUUACAUACAUUUACUGUAAAUUCAAGCUGUGAAGUUUUUAUUUAAGAAUUGAACUCUUGACUAGUUUAUCUGGUAGAAACCAAUAGGUUACAAUUUACUAUCAACCAACACUACAGGACUUAUGUGUGCAAACCUUUAAACAUUAUCAGGCCUUUUUGGUCUCUCUCAGGUCUUUCCCCGAACUCGAGGAACAAAAUUUAAGACAUUAUUAAUGCAAUAUUUAUCUGUAAACAGAAGGCUUCUGUAAACCAGGGUCAUUAAUUAACUGAUUUUGUACAUUCGUGAGGGCAGUUUUUAUCACCACCUUAAUAAUUGUAUCUGUGUUGUCUUUAAUGUCAAAUACUUGAAUUUAACCAAUUACUUCAAUUAAUCAAAAUACUUUAAACUGUUGCCAGUAACAACUGACUGUUUGAAAUCAUAUCUUAAUUAUACAUUUAAAAACAGGAGCCAAUAUGGCUGCAAUAUUAUGACAACAUUCGUUAUUGUCGAUUAUUGCCUCUUGAUAUUGUAAUAAUGAUUAUUAAUACGGAUUAAUGGAAUACAUAUAAAAAUCGCUUCAUCUGGAAAGCAUCUGCUGUGUACAAACAUCUGAUAGACAUCUUUAAGAUGUCAGUUUACAUGCAUUCUAAAUCAUAAACAUCUUAAAGACAUCUUCUAAACAUCUGUUUGACAUCUGAUAGGAAACUUCCUAUAGACGUUUUGCAGAUGAACAAACACUCUAAAAAAUACGUCUUGCAGAUGUAAAUGCAGAUGUCAAAUAGACGUCUCUGUGACGUACGUGUGCUAUCAGGGUGUGUUUUCAUGACUUUUGAACACUUGAGCACAUCGAUCACCUUCUCGAGAUUCAUGAUUAAAAGCUAACUUUCAUUUAUGCUUUUUCUUGCCAUCAUAUAGUCGCAGUUGCAAAUCAAGAAGCGCUAAAAACAGGAGUCCACAGAAGUUUGAGGGAAAAUAAUGUGUGUUUGGUUUCCUCUUUUUUUCAUUGUUUUGUUUACUCAUCUGACAGUUCAGCCCAGACAUGUACGUUAAAGCUCACGCUAUACAACCCGUUACACCACAUAUCAACAUUCAGUAUCACUUUUAGCAGACGUGUUUACAUACUUUUUUACUGUAAAUUCAAGCUGUGAAGUUUUUAUUUGAGAAUUGAACUCUUGACUAGUUUAGCUGGUAGAAACCAAUAGGUUACAAUUUACUAUCAACCAACACUACAGGACUUUAAGCAAUUAUGUGUGCAAACCUUUAAACAUUAUCAGGCCUUUUUGGCCUCUCUCAGGUCUUUCCCCGAACUCGAGGAACAAAAUUUAAGACAUUAUUAAUGCAAUAUUUAUCUGUAAACAGAAGGGUUCUGUAAACCAGGGUCAUUAAUUAACUGAUUUUGUACAUUCGUGAGGGCAGUUUUUAUCACCACCUUAAUAAUUGUAUCUGUGUUGUCUUUAAUGUCAAACACUUGAACUUAACCAAUUACUUUAAUCAAUCAAAAUACUUUAAACUGUUGCCAGUAACAACUGACUGUUUGAAAUCAUAUCUUAAUUAUACGUUUAAAAACAGGAGCCAAUAUGGCUGCAAUAUUAUGACAACAUUCGUUAUUGUCGAUUAUUGCUCUUGAUAUUGUAAUAAUGAUUAUUAAUACGGAUUAAUGGAAUACAUAUAAAAAUCGCUUCAUCUGGAAAGCAUCUGCUGUGUACAAACAUCUGAUAGACAUCUUUAAGAUGUCAGUUUUACAUUCAUUCUAAAUCAUAAACAUCUUAAAGACAUCUUCUAAAUGUCUAUUUGACGUACGUGUGCUAUCAGGGUGUGUUUUCAUGACUUUUGAACACUUGAGCACAUCGAUCCCCUUCUUGAGAUUCAUGAUUAAAAGCUAACUUUCAUUUAUGCUUUUUCUUGCCAUCAUAUAGUCGCAGUUGCAAAUCGAGAAGCGCUAAAAACAGAAGUCCACAGAAGUUUGAGGGAAAAUAAUGUGUGUUUGGUUUCCUCUUUUUUCCAUUGUUUUGCUUACUCAUCUGACAGUUCAGCCCAGACAUGUACGUUAAAGCUCACGCUAUUCAACCCGUUACACCACAUAUCAACAUUCAGUAUCACUUUAAGCAGACAUGUUUACACACAUUUACUGUAAAUUCAAGCUGUGAAGUUUUUAUUUAAGAAUUGAACUCUUGACUAGUUUAACUGGUAGAAACAAAUAGGUUACAAUUUACUAUCAACCAACACUACAGGACUUAUGUGUGCAAACCUUUAGACAUUAUCAGGCCUUUUUGGCCUCUCUCAGGUCUUUCCCUGUACUCGAGGAACAAAAUUUAAGACAUUAUUAAUGCAAUAUUUAUCUGUAAACAGAAGGGUUCUGUAAACCAGGGUCAUUAUUUAACUGAUUUUGUACAUUCGUGAGGGCAGUUUUUAUCACCACCUUAAUAAUUGUAUCUGUGUUGUUUUUAAUGUCAAUUACUUGAAUUUAACCAAUUACUUCAAUCAAUCAAAAUUUUGUCUCAAAAAAAGUUUGUCUCAUGGCUUCAGAGACAAACAUGUCGGUCCAUGACGUUAGACUAGACUAGCACAAGUUGAGCAAAACCUCCCAUUAUAAUAACUGAUGCUAUGAAAUUAAUCUUUUAUUUACAUCGUAUCUGCACUGUUGUUUAUGAUGUGGGUUCAGUGCGGCAAUAUAAUCAACAACAACUCCGGAGUCUUGAGCACUGACUAAUCUAAGCAGCUCUGAUUGGCCAUUGCAUUCCUAAGCUCAACGGAAACGCAUGUGAUUGCUUAUAAAGCUCAACACUGCAAAAUAAAAAAAGCAUAAAAUGCAAUCUGAUGCAGCAUGAGCAGUUCAUUUUAAUCACAACAGCUGUAGUACAUUGUUGCAUUGUGCAGGGGCAAUUUUUGCCCCUUUAUCUUGAAUUUGUGGGGCAUUUUGGUUAAUUUUGGUUGCAUUUUUGCCACAAGCCCCCAUUAACAACAUGUGACUGCUUCAACUCACUCCAGGCGGCCAAAUGCAGAAAUGCAUAACUCAGUCUAGCAAAGCUAAGAUUUUCUGUGACUUUCCGACUUUAAUUGCUUUGAAAUGUUAAUUCCAAAUCACCAAACUGCAUCACGUCUGCAAGAGGUCUGUCAAAGAUCGCUUCAUCUGGAAAGCAUCUGCUGUGUACAAACAUCUGAUAGACGUCUUUAAGAUGUCAGUUUACAUUCAUUCUAAAUCAUAAACAUCUUAAAGACAUCUUAUUAACGUCUAUUUGACAUCUGAUAGGAAACGUCCUAUAGUCGUAUUGCAGAUGAACAAACACUAAAAAAAUAUGCCUUGCAGAUGUAAUGCAGACGUCAAAUAGACGUCUCUGUAUUGUACGUGUGCUAUCAAGGUGUGUUUUCAUGACUUUUGAGCACUUGUGCACAUCAAUCACCUCCUCGAGAUUCAUGAUUAAAAGCUAACUUUCAAGGUUUUUCUUGCCAUCGUAUAGUCGCAGUUGCAAAUCGAGAAGCGCUAAAAACUGAAUUGCACAGAAGUUCAAGGGGAAAUAAUGUGCGAUUGGUUUCCUCUUUUUUCCAUUGUUUUGUUUACUCAUCUGACAGUUCAGCCCAGACAUGUACGUUAAAGCUCACGCUAUACAACCCGUAACACCACAUAUCAACACACAGUACCAUUGUUAACAUGUCAAGCUAAAUAAUUUACAAACGCAAAGAGAUAUGUGCUUUAUAUAACCUAUAAAACUCCCAAAGCCAAACAUAAGUGAAAAUAAGCAUCCGGUUUCUCAGGGAAAGUGCGAUCCUACACGAGUUUUGCUGUGAAACUAGUGUCUCUGUACCUGCGAGUAAACACACUCCUCCUGAAGCUGCUGCUGUGGAGCGUUUGAGUGGUUCGGAGUGAAUGUCACCUCGCCGUACUGAACCUCCUCCUCCUUCUUCUUCUUCUUCCUCUUUGUCUGCGUUCGGACCUCGGAGUAUUCCACAUCAGCAGCCAGGAAAGAUUCUGU